AUCCUUUUGUAGUUCAUAAGCGUGAUGAUUGGUUUUCACUCUCAUGUGAGAUGUGCCUCACUCAAACCUUGUUAUAUUGUCAGCACAUUACCUAUCUGAUG
ensembl:snoRNA